rnacentral:tRNA from 1 species
GGAGAAGUGGCCGAGUGGUUUAAGGCAGCGGUCUUGAAAACCGCCGUACCGCGAGGUACCGUGGGUUCGAAUCCCACCUUCUCCUCCA